AAUGGAAGAGUAUCCAGGGAAUUAAAACGGAAAUAAGCCAGGGCCCAUUCUAACGCCCUGUCUCGGAGUAGACCGAUUAUGUAGGAGAUCCUCGAGGCGUCCGAGGAGAAGGAGCGCGGAGAACGAGAAAUGGCCAAGUUGCAUUGAAGCAGAAAACCACCACACUUCACGGGAUCACCUGAAAAAUGAUCUGGAGUGGGGAAUGAGGCGUCCCGAAACACUGGCUCACUAGUGACAGGAUGAGGAACUGGAGGAUCAGCCGGAGGAGAUGUUUCCUGAGGUGGAGCAGAGAGUCGCUUGUGGAUAUCCUCCAAUAAUCCAAAAACCUGACCCAAGCGGAGAUUUGUGGUGGCCUGUUGCUCGUCCAGGGAACGUAAAGCCUUCUCGUGCUCACCAAGCAUUUGUCCCUGUUUGGACAAAGCCGAUUUCCAGGCGUCUGCUGAGUCCAUCUUGUUGGCCAGAUUAUACUGUCACGGCUGGAUUCAGCCGUCGGAAGGAGGGAAGCAGGACCCAAAUAGCAGACGAGAUAAUCGUAAAUGGCAGAACAGGUUUAUUUCACACAAGGGAUCUGGAUGGUCCGAGCUGGAGAGUGUCCGGGGUUCAGGUUCUCUGGGAGGAGAGGAAAAUGGAGGAGGUAGGCUGUCACGGCUGGAUCCUGAGCUGAAGGGUGGAAGGGCGAGCAGGCAGGUGGCAAGGUUUACAGCUGACGAUCGGAGGAGGAGGACUGGAGGUCAGAUGACUGGAAUGCUGGAGUGUAUCAAGGC